GCGAGCUGGUGGCUGCGGGCGGCGCCGAGUGAGCCAGCGAACGAGACCGGGCCAUGGGGCAGCGGGCAGUGGGCUCGCUGCUGCUAGGGCUGCUGCUGCACGCGCGGCUGCUCGCGGUGACACAGGGGCUAAGGGCCUAUGAUGGCCUUUCCCUUCCUGAGGACACAGAGACUGUCACAGCGAGCCGGUAUGGCUGGACCUACUCAUACCUCUCUGACGAUGAGGACCUGUUGGCUGAUGAUGCGUCAGGAGAUGGCCUCGGCAGUGGAGACCUGGGCAGUGGGGACUUCCAGAUGGGUAAGUUGCUGAGGGGAUCCCCAGAGCAGGCCUGUUGGUUUGCAGAGGCCUCAUCUCUGGGGCAGAGGACCCAAGGGCCCUGUGGAGAUGGUCCCCUUCCUGCUGAAUGGCAGUUGU
rnacentral:lncRNA from 1 species